rnacentral:lncRNA from 1 species
CAUCACCCUUACCGUGUACGUGAUGGUUUCUUCAGUGUCCUGUGACUUGACCAACGCCAGAGUCAGCAUAGUUAGGAAAAGGGCUUUCAACAUCAUGAAUCUCAAAUAAAACACAGUACAAACCGAUGCUUAGCAUCCGCAGCGGAGGAAAAUAAAACUUCAGCUGUAAAGUAACAAGCAAGCAAGGUAGAGAAGGUGGAGAAAGCUGAGGCUCCUUCAUACACAACUUCUUCUAAUCUACUUCUCAUCUCCCCACCCCCUCCUCAACUUUCCCUUGGCCAAACGGGACACCAAAGGCUGAAGACGGCUGCAGAAUUACAUUUCGAUUUACACUGUCCGGCUACGAAUAUACACAAAAGCUGUAAGGGGUCACCAAGAAUUGGAAUUUGGUACGACUCAAAAGUCUUUUGGCAACCUUAGACUAAGCCACAGUGGAUUCUAAAUUUCAAUAUCAAUUAGGACAGUUGAAUGUGAAACAUUCACAGAAGGAAUGAGGAAGGAACCUUCAGUGUGAUAAUCUGGCAGCUGAAGUUUGAGGAGGGCCUGGCAGGAGAUCAUAUCCCCUUUUGAACUGUUUGGAAUGUGACAGAGUAGCACCCACAAAAAGAGUGGGAGGAGCUUUCAGAAGGAAAACAUUUUAGGUUCAGCUUUUACUUUACUACACAUAGACCCCUUGAUUGCAACUUUUUAAAAGAAACAAGUAACAAGCACUGAAGACAUGCUAUAUCA